rfam:Helianthus annuus linkage group 8, whole genome shotgun sequence.
AUAUAUUUUAUUUAGAUAAAUGCAAUGAUUCUUUCGCCUUUUGCUAAAGAAUACCGUAUGCUCGUUGAAUUAAAUGGCAUACGCUUAAUUUUUGAGAGCUUCUUCUAUUAUUGAAGGGC